CCAGGUGGCCGGCUCUGCUUUGUCACCUUCUUUGAAUUUGCCUUUGAAAACAGCCCAAGCCUUGAAAAUGGAAGCGUCCACCUCCUGGUUGUAGUCCUGCUUCCCUGCGUGCUUCCAGGGGAUGCGGAACAUGGUUUUCUCCUCAUUCUCCCAGAUGAGCCCCGGGUACUGCUCACUGUCAAUCUGCUCGAUCAGCCACUGCCGCAGCCGUCUGCCACCAUUGCGGUCACACAUC
rnacentral:lncRNA from 1 species